rnacentral:lncRNA from 1 species
AAAUCGGAGAGGUCUUGGAACAACGUAAAUCCGACCGUGACUCUGCAAGAAAGUAAAUAACAGAAGAUGUAUCGUGGUUCACCCCAAUGUUUGGGCUACGUCCACACUGAUUAUUGUAUUUCUCUGAGAAGUGAGGGGAGUGAGGGAGAGAGCUUCUGAGGGUGAGAGAACUCUUCCCAUGGCCUAAGAAAUGGCAUCUGAGGGUGAGAGUGAGGCCUCACCUAAUUGUGAGGGUGAAGGGUCCUUUUAUAGAAUAAGGACUCCUCACUUAUUACAUAUUUGCCCCUUUCUUUAUCACAUAAUUACAUUUAAGUCCCCAAGUAUUUGUACGAAAUCUAAAUACGAGGCCCUAAAUAUGGUAUAAACAAAGUACAUAGAAUAUCACUACGUACUUUAUCAAAGAUAUCAUCUAAACCUGCCAAAAAAGCAUGCACACGAUCAAUUUGAAUUGCUUCUCGAAGGGCCUUGAGAUCUGUACCACACUCUAUCUUGAUUGGUCUCCUUUGACCUAACUCCUACCAAACGAACUUGAGGUCAGCGUAAUACACACCAACCGACCAUCCCUCUUGACGGAGUAUGAAAGAUUUAACCUUUAAUUCAUAAAUUUGAAAAAUAUCUGAACCAUCAUAGUAGGUCUGAACCACCUCUUCCCAAACUUCUUUACCAGUACGCAAGUGAAUAAAAAAUCCCAUGAUAGCGAGUUCCAUGGAAUUGAUCAACCACCCUUUUACUAUUGCAUUCAUUGUCUCCCACGUCUCAUACUUAGCAGGCUCCUUGGUAAUCCCUGUCACAAAGCCUUUCGUACCGCAUCCAGCGAUGUGCAUCUCUAAAACUUUCGACCAAAAAGGAUAAUUCGAUCCAUUUAGCUUCAUGGUAUUUGGUACAGCAAACGCAUCAUUCUGAAUAACAA